UCUCCUUGACAAGGUGUUUCCUGUGCAUGCCUGAUAUAUGUAUGUGUGUGCGUGCAGGGUCUCUGUGACUCCACACUUAGAACCUGAGACCACAGAGCGGGUCCAUGAGAAUCCAUUGUGCACGCGAUGCAUCUGCUAUGAAGCAAGUGGAGUCCCUGCAGAGUUGGGAAAAGCAUAGCACCAGCUGCCCCCUCUGUCCUCAUACCCUGACCCCAGCCAGACUUCUGACCUGACGGCAAACUUCACCCCAACCUGGGCAGGAUCCAGCUGAGUCAGACUGACAUUUCUCCCCCAAACCAAGGCUCUCCCUUUUGGCCUGCUGGAGCAGAAACAGAGAGGAGGAGCAGGCCCAGAUGGACUACAACUUGCAUCACACAGCGAAGGCUGAGCUCCAGGCUGGCAGUUGCUGCCCUGCCCUACCCUACCCGUUGUGCUUCCAAGUAGAACACAGAGCCAUGGCGCAGAGUCGCAGCCUGGGAGAACCUGAGCAGGGCCCACCAUGCCAGAGAAAGCAGAGCCGAGCUACAAAGGAGACUCCCAGACCAGACUUACUGCCUGGAAGAAUCAGAAGCCAGCCCAGACACCUGGAGAUUUAGAGCAACCGUGGCACCUGGAAAGGACACCCUCUGAUCUGUUGAGCUGCCUGUGCAGUGUGCUCCAGGUCUAUCAGUCUUUGUGAGCUGGGGUGGGCUCUGUUGAUGCAGCUGUCUUUGAGUAACUUCUGCUCCUGUAAGCAACCCCUCACCAACGCUUCUGAAAAGUUUUGUCACACAACACUAUCAGCUGUUAGAUAACACUUAAGGAUUCAGCGUCUCACUAUCAUUGCAAAGGUGUAACAAAGAACCCUUGCUUCCUGGAUUCAAAGAAACAACGGUUGUAGAUUCA